AGCGAAUAGAUACCCCGGUAGUCCACGCCCUAAACGAUGUCGACUAGGUGUUCGGUGAGGAGACUCAUUGAGUACCGCAGCUAACGCGUGAAGUCGACCGCCUGGGGAGUACGGUCGCAAGAUUAAAACUCAAAGGAAUUGACGGGGACCCGCACAAGCGGUGGAUGAUGUGGAUUAAUUCGAUGCAACGCGAAAACCUUACCUACCCUUGACAUGUACGGAACCCUGCUGAGAGGUGGGGUGCUCGAAAGAGAGCCGUAACACAGGUGCUGCAUGGCUGUCGUCAGCUCGUGUCGUGAGAUGUUGGGUUAAGUCCCGCAACGAGCGCAACCCUUGUCAUUAGUUGCUACGCAAGAGCACUCUAAUGAGACUGCCGGUGACAAACCGGAGGAAGGUGGGGAUGACGUCAAGUCCUCAUGGCCCUUAUGGGUAGGGCUUCACACGUCAUACAAUGGUCGGUACAGAGGGUUGCCAAGCCGCGAGGUGGAGCCAAUCCCAGAAAGCCGAUCGUAGUCCGGAUCGCAGUCU
rnacentral:rRNA from 1 species